GGGGAGGUAUUGCAUCAAUGGCAGGCAAGCCAUGCAUGCAGCCAUGCCGCGUGUAUGAAGAAGGCCUUCGGGUUGUAAAGUACUUUCAGCGGGGAGGAAGGCGAUAAGGUUAAUAACCUUGUCGAUUGACGUUACCCGCAGAAGAAGCACCGGCUAACUCCGUGCCAGCAGCCGCGGUAAUACGGAGGGUGCAAGCGUUAAUCGGAAUUACUGGGCGUAAAGCGCACGCAGGCGGUCUGUCAAGUCGGAUGUGAAAUCCCCGGGCUCAACCUGGGAACUGCAUUCGAAACUGGCAGGCUGGAGUCUUGUAGAGGGGGUAGGAUUCAGGAUGUCAGCGGUGAAGUGCAGCUAGAGAUCUGGAGGAAUACCGGUGGCGAAGGCGGCCCCUGCAGCAAAGACUGACGCUCAGGUGCGAAAGCGUGGGGAGCAAACA
rnacentral:rRNA from 1 species